CGCGUGGGAACGUGCCCCAAAGUGAGGAAUAACUGCCCGAAAGGGUAGCUAAUACCGCAUAUGAUCUUCGGAUUAAAGUCUUCGGACGCUUUGGGAGCGGCCCGCGUCGGAUUAGGUUGUUGGUAGGGUAAUGGCCUACCAAGCCGACGAUCCGUAGCUGGUCUGAGAGGAUGAUCAGCCAGACUGGAACUGAGACACGGUCCAGACUCCUACGGGAGGCAGCAGUGAGGAAUCUUCCACAAUGGGGGCAACCCUGAUGGAGCAACGCCGCGUGAAGGAUGAAGGCCCUCGGGUUGUAAACUUCUUUUAUGAGUGAAGAAUAUGACGGUAACUCAUGAAUAAGCACCGGCUAACUACGUGCU
rnacentral:rRNA from 1 species